rnacentral:rRNA from 1 species
UACGUAGGGUGCAAGCGUUGUCCGGAAUUAUUGGGCGUAAAGAGCUCGUAGGCGGUUUGUCGCGUCUGCUGUGAAAACUCAGGGCUUAACCCUGAGCCUGCAGUGGGUACGGGCAGACUAGAGUGUGGUAGGGGAGAUCGGAAUUCCUGGUGUAGCGGUGGAAUGCGCAGAUAUCAGGAGGAACACCGGUGGCGAAGGCGGCCUUCUGGACAGCGACUGACGCUGAGACGCGAAAGCGUGGGGAGCAAACAGG